UAUUAUUAUUAUUAUUAUUUGUGAUGAUGUGAAAAAGCAGAUCACAUUUCCAUAAAAGGGAGCUCUUUUUAUGUACCGAGAAAAUACUCAUCUUAAACUCAGUUUCAAAGAAGAAUCUCACAGAAAAACCAGUCAAUGAUGCAGAGAAGAUAAGGGCAUGAAGCCGUACUACUGCAGCACAGACAUCAUUAAUCUUUACAAUUUUUUAAAAUUUAUAUGUGUAAAUAAAUAUUUACAAAAAAAAAAAGGAAAUAUUCAUAAUAAGUUGACAAAUCCAAAUGAAAUUUACUUAAAAUUCAGGAAUAUCAGAAACCAAAGAACAAUGUCCAAAACCAUACAUGAAAACUUGCACUUCCAGAAGCAUAAAUUCCGAAAAUAGAGAAAGAUAAAAAAAAACAAAACCACUAAAUCAAGUAUCCCAUUUAAAAAAAGAACAAAAAAAAAAUCUAAAAAAAUAAAGUUACCAUAUGAAGAUCCUCAGAGGAAAAAAAAAGUAAUUCAACAAUUUCGAAAUUCCCAGAGUAAAGAGACAGUAUUAAACAAAAAAGGAAGCAGAAGCAGAUAAGAUCAAAGGCAUUUAGUGCGAAAAUAAAAGUAAAACAAAAAAUUUAAAGAACCCAUCAAAUUCAAUAAUCCAUUAAACUCAAAACAAAACAAAGAAUAAAAAAAUAUGGUAUUAUUUUAUUGUACCUUCUAUAUAUAUAUAUAGCAGUGUAUUUAUGUAUUGGUACCUUGAAAAUCUGGAACAUUCCAUUCUGGAAGAGAAGACACAGAUUGAAGACGAGGGAUUCCCGAGGAAGAGUGGAAAAGAUCGCCGAUUCUUUAUCAACUGAAUCUCCAAAACAAGGUCCCUCCCGUGAAUUACGAGAAUUUACAGGGAAUGGAGAGAGAGAAAAGAGGGAGAGUUUGUAGAGAGAGAAAGAAACUAAGAGGAAGAGC
rnacentral:misc_RNA from 1 species